ACGAUCCAGUCAAAAUCAGCCCAUAUGGAGGCAUCGAUGUAUCUGGACUCACGUAUCAAUAGGAAAAUAACCGGCCGCAUUGAUCCGUCUAGCGUCAGCCGCAUCGUCUUCUCCUCUGCCUCCUCGUUUUUCUGUUCCGCUGUUCCCCAACCCUAAAUCCCCAAUCACAGCGGAAGUGGCGACGAUAGGGCUCUCUCGCCUUGAGAUUUCUAGCCGUUUUGAAGGGAUUAAUGGAGGAGGAGACCAUGAUUCAUUAAUUUCCAAGAAAUUCCUCCCGAAUUUGGAACGGUUCAGGGAUAAAAUACUGAAGAAAGGGGGAAGAGGAGUAGAGGAAGCAGCGGGUACCGACGGGCGGCGGUCAGCAGCAAGCCGACAACAAGGAGUCAAGCAGCAUCCUAGCUCCAGGUUCAUUCGUUUCAACUUUUACUUGCAUGCCUAAUUCAUCCUGUGUGCCAAGAUGUCAUCUAGAAAAUCCUCUAGUCAUGAAAAGCGACAGAAGAGAAAACAAGUAGAUGAGUUCAUACAAUCCCAAAAGGGUGCCUUAGACAAAUUUAUUAGCAAAACUGCAAGUUCUGCUAGUGAUUCUCAAGAACUAGCUCUAGCAAUUGUGGAACAGCCCAAUGAAAAUCUAUAUGCAAACAAUAGCAAUGCUAGUGAGCAUGAAAAUUUAGAUGGGGGUAAUAAUAAUGUGAGUGAUAAUGAACCAGAACAACAAUCUUUUACCACAUAUAUUUAUGAUCCUGCAAAUUGGGAUAAUUUAGAUGAAACAUUAAGGGAUAUUUUAGUGGAGAAGGGACCUAUAAGAGAAGAAGACCUUGUUUUUCCUAUUGGAUUAGAUUAAUGUUGAUAAUAUUAUCAAUGACUUUGCAUCAACAAAUUUUAGAAAAAAAUGCUUCACAUAGUUAGUGCACUUGUUUAUUUUGCAUGUCAAUACAAGAUCCAAGUACAAUCUGGAGAGCGGGCUAGAGACCUGGAAUGCAGGACGUGGAGAGCAAGCACAAGUUUGAGCUGAAAUGUGAUAAGAUCAUGAGUAGAUGUUUUGUGAGUUGAACACUGUCACCCAUAAGAUCAUGAGUAUUUCCUUGAGAAGAUAGGAAGAAUUAUGUUAAAUGAUUAAGUUUGUAUUAAAUUAAAUAUCAAAAAUCAUCUCUAUUGCUUAUGUACCGGGGGCCUUUUUUUUUUGGCUUGCACCGGGGCCCUGGAAUGCCAGGGCCGGCCCCUGUUUCCCGUCGAUCCCCCUCCUCACCCCUCUGCCCUUGAUCCCCCUCCUGGCGCCGCUCCGCCACGAUCCAGUACCGUGGGCGGCUGCUGCUCCGCCCGCCCCCUGCGCACAACGCCCCACUGCCUGCACGCCACCCGGCCAGCCGUGAGACGCCAGCGCCCAGGUUAGAUAGCAAUGGGGAAACAUCAGAAGAUAUUCUUUUUUUAAUACGUAAAAGAAAAAGAGAUGAUGAAGUUAUUGAACUUGAACAUACAUCCCUUCCUGAUGCUAUGACUAUUGUGGAAUAUGUAAAUUAAAUGGAAGAUGAAGAUGGACAGAAAAUCGGAGGCAAGGCGAACAAGAUGCGUGUAUAGCAUCAUGGCAUUGCCAUCUAGUAUUGUCUUACAUAUGUUCCAUAAUUUGCACCAUUUUUUAGGCUUGUUUGAUGUUUUUAAUAGAAUUUGCCCCCUCUUCUAUUUUGUUCACGCUCCGCCACUGGCUGGUGGGCGAAGCUGGGUAGUGGCAAGAAAUGUGAGCUGCAAAAGAGCAAUAUCGCCUUCUCGGUAUACACUUUCUGGCAUAUUUGGAAGGAGCGUCGGCGUCAUAUUUUUUCAGAACCUUUUGAUGCCUGCUGCGGGACUGGCCUCCCUAAUCAAGGCUGAUCUGGAGUUGCUCAGCUUGGCUAGAGAGAGAAUGGAGAUUUAGAUGUUGA